rnacentral:SRP_RNA from 1 species
GCGCUAAACGGGGAGGUAGCGGUGCCCUGUAACCCACAACCCGCUAUAGUGGGGUCGAAUUCCCGUUCGAGGCAGCAUUUUGUAGGGUCAGCCUUUUAUAAGUGAUGUUGAUAGCCGGGUCCCGGGCGGCGGACGGCUGUGAACCCCGUCAGGUCCGGAAGGAAGCAGCGGUAAGCAGUGCGGUUUGGGUGCCCCGGGGAAGCCCGGAAGGAGUUAACUGUAAAAGCAGCGCCUGUAAAAUGUUUGUCGGAAACGGGUGCGC